CCUACGGGCGGCUGCAGUGGGGAAUAUUGCACAAUGGGCGAAAGCCUGAUGCAGCGACGCCGCGUGAGGGAUGAAGGCCUUCGGGUUGUAAACCUCUUUCAGCAGGGACGAAGCGCAAGUGACGGUACCUGCAGAAGAAGCACCGGCCAACUACGUGCCAGCAGCCGCGGUAAUACGUAGGGUGCAAGCGUUGUCCGGAAUUAUUGGGCGUAAAGAGCUCGUAGGCGGUCUGUCGCGUCAGCUGUGAAAACCUGGGGCUCAACCCCGGGCCUGCAGCCGAUACGGGCAGACUAGAAUUCGGUAGGGGAGACUGGAAUUCCUGGUGUAGCGGUGAAAUGCGCAGAUAUCAGGAGGAACACCGGUGGCGAAGGCGGGUCUCUGGGCCGAUAUUGACGCUGAGGAGCGAAAGCGUGGGGAGCAAACAGGAUUAGAUACCCCAGUAGUC
rnacentral:rRNA from 1 species